rnacentral:rRNA from 1 species
GACGAACGCUGGCGGCGUGCUUAACACAUGCAAGUCGAACGGAAAGGCCCUGCUUUUGUGGGGUGCUCGAGUGGCGAACGGGUGAGUAACACGUGAGUAACCUGCCCUUGACUUUGGGAUAACUUCAGGAAACUGGGGCUAAUACCGGAUAGGAGCUCCUGCUGCAUGGUGGGGGUUGGAAAGUUUCGGCGGUUGGGGAUGGACUCGCGGCUUAUCAGCUUGUUGGUUGGGUAGUGGCUUACCAAGGCAUUGACGGGUAGCCGGCCUGAGAGGGUGACCGGCCACAUGGGGACUGAGAUACGGACCAGACUCCUACGGGAGGCAGCAGUGGGGAAUAUUGCACAAUGGGCGGAAGUCUGAUGCAGCAACGCCGCGUGCGGGAUGACGGCCUUCGGGUUGUAAACCGCUUUCGCCUGUGACGAAGCGUGAGUGACGGUAAUGGGUAAAGAAGCACCGGCUAACUACGUG